rnacentral:rRNA from 1 species
GACGAACGCUGGCGGCGUGCUUAACACAUGCAAGUCGAACGCGCCUGUCCUCUGGGUUUCUGGGGGGUGGGUGAGUGGCGAACGGGUGAGUAACACGUGAGUAACCUGCCCCCUUCUUCGGGAUAACGGUCUGAAAGGGCUGCUAAUACCGGGUAUUCACUGGUCUCCGCAUGGGGUCUGGUGGAAAGGUUUUUUUCUGGUGGGGGAUGGGCUCGCGGCCUAUCAGCUUGUUGGUGGGGUGAUGGCCCACCAAGGCUUUGACGGGUAGCCGGCCUGAGAGGGUGACCGGUCACAUUGGGACUGAGAUACGGCCCAGACUCCUACGGGAGGCAGCAGUGGGGAAUAUUGCACAAUGGGCGCAAGCCUGAUGCAGCGACGCCGCGUGAGGGAUGGAGGCCGUCGGGUUGUGAACCUCUUUCGCCCGUGGUCAAGCCGCGACGUGGGUCGUGGUGAGGGUAGUGGGUAAAGAAGCGCCGGCUAACUACGUG